rnacentral:rRNA from 1 species
AGCGACAGGCCUAACACAUGCAAGUCGAGGGGCAGCACAAGGAGCAAUCUGAGGUGGCGACCGGCGCACGGGUGAGUAACACGUAUGCAACCUGCCUGUAAGCGGGGAAUAACCCGUUGAAAGACGGACUAAUACCGCAUAAUACUAAAUUACUGCAUGGUAAUUUAUUUAAACAUUUAUGGCUUACAGAUGGGCAUGCGCAUGAUUAGCUAGUUGGAGAGGUAACGGCUCCCCAAGGCAACGAUCAUUAGGGGUUCUGAGAGGAAGGUCCCCACCACUGGUACUGAGACACGGACCAGACUCCUACGGGAGGCAGCAGUGAGGAAUAUUGGUCAAUGGACGAGAGUCUGAACCAGCCAAGUCGCGUGCAGGAAGAAUGUCCUAAUGGAUUGUAAACUGCUUUUGCAGGGGAAUAAAGUGCAUCACGUGUGAUGCUUUGUAUGUACUCUGGGAAUAAGGAUCGGCUAACUCCGUGCCAGCAGCCGC